CCUACGGGAGGCAGCAGUGAGGAAUAUUGGUCAAUGGGCGCGAGCCUGAACCAGCCAAGUAGCGUGAAGGAUGACUGCCCUACGGGUUGUAAACUUCUUUUAUAAAGGAAUAACGUGAGGCAAGUGUGCCUUUUUGUAUGUAUUUUAUGAAUAAGGAUCGUCUAACUCCGUGCCCGCAGCCGCGGUAAUACGGAGGAACCGAGCGUUAUCCGGAUUUAGUGGGUUUAAAGGGAGCGUAGAUGGGUUUUUAAGUCAGUUGGUAAAGUUUGCGGCUCAACCGUAAAAUUGCAAUUGAUACUUGCAGCCUUGAGGACAGGUGAGGUAGGCGGAAUUCGGGGGGGAGGGGUGA
rnacentral:rRNA from 1 species